CACGUAGGGGGCAAGCGUUGUCCGGAUUUAUUGGGCGUAAAGAGCUCGUAGGCGGCUCAGUAAGUCAGGUGUGAAACCUCCAGGCUCAACCUGGAGACGCCACCUGAUACUGCUGUGGCUAGAGUCCGGUAGGGGAGCGUGGAAUUCCUGGUGUAGCGGUGAAAUGCGCAGAUAUCGGAAGGAACACCUGUGGCGAAAGCGGCUCACUGGACCAUUACUGACGCUGAUGCACGAAAGCUAGGGGAGCAAACAGG
rnacentral:rRNA from 1 species